rnacentral:rRNA from 1 species
GACGAACGCUGGCGGCGUGCCUAACACAUGCAAGUCGAACGGAAGGGCCGUGAGUGUGUGGGGUGCUCGAGUGGCGGACGGGGGAGUAACACGUGUGUAACCUGCUCUUCACUUUCGGGUGAGAUAAGGAAGGUGGGGUUAAUCUCGGACAGGAUCUGCCGCUGGAUGGUGGGCGUUGGAAAGUUUCGGCUGGUGGGGAUGGACUCGCGGAUGAUGGGCUUGCUGGUGGGGUAGUGGCAGACCAAGGAUUUGAACGCUCGGCGGCCUGAGAGGGUGGCCGGCCACAUUAGGACUGAGAUACGGCCCAGACUCCUAUGGGAGGCAGCAGUGGAGAAUAUUACACAAUGGGAGGGAGCCUGAUGAAGCAACGCCGCGUGCGGGAAGACGGCCUUCUGGUUGUGAACCGCUUUCGCCUGAGACGAAGCGUGAGUGACGGUAAUGGGUAAAGAAGCACCGGCUAACUACGUG